GACGAACGCUGGCGGCGUGCCUAAUACAUGCAAGUAGAACGCACAGUUUAUACCGUAGCUUGCUACACCAUAGACUGUGAGUUGCGGACGGGUGAGUAACGCGUAGGUAACCUGCCUGGUAGCGGGGGAUAACUAUUGGAAACGAUAGCUAAUACCGCAUAAUAUUGAUUAUUGCAUGAUAAUUGAUUGAAAGAUGCUAUUGCAUCACUACCAGAUGGACCUGCGUUGUAUUAGCUAGUAGGUGAGGUAACGGCUCACCUAGGCGACGAUACAUAGCCGACCUGAGAGGGUGAUCGGCCACACUGGGACUGAGACACGGCCCAGACUCCUACGGGAGGCAGCAGUAGGGAAUCUUCGGCAAUGGACGAAAGUCUGACCGAGCAACGCCGCGUGAGUGAAGAAGGUUUUCGGAUCGUAAAGCUCUGUUGUAAGAGAAGAACGGGUGUGAGAGUGGAAAGUUCACACUGUGACGGUAUCUUACCAGAAAGGGACGGCUAACUACGUG
rnacentral:rRNA from 1 species